AUUAAUGUUUACAACCUACUCUUAAACUUUAUAAACAAAAGUUAUAACUAGCAAAAUGUCUAGAAAAUAACAUGUCCAUAAACAAGUCUAUCAUAUUACCUUUUUCCCAAAAUAUAAGUAAAUAAAAAACACCUACGAAAUAACACAAAAUUGGCUUGGAUCACCUCUCAGAAAUCACACCCUUCACACCAGCACACAAUUAAUCUGUAAGGGUUUAAAAAGAGUGAGUGAGUUUAACAAGCUCAGUGAAUGCUUAGAAUAACUACAAUGCAAAUAAUUCAUCAAGCAUCAAUGAAACAACCAUAUAGCAUAACCUCAAUAGUUCUAAUUCUAGUGUCAUAUUAUACGUACUUGUGCA
rnacentral:lncRNA from 1 species